UACAGAGGUCCCGAGCGUUGUUCGGAUUCAUUGGGCGUAAAGGGUGCGUAGGCGGCGGGGAAAGUCUGAUGUGAAAUCCUGGGGCUCAACCCUGGAACUGCAUUGGAUACUUCCUUGCUAGAGUACUGGAGAGGAAACUGGAAUUUACGGUGUAGCAGUGAAAUGCGUAGAUAUCCGGAGGAACACCGGUGGCGAAGGCGGCUUCCUGGACCGACACUGACGCUGAGGCGCGAAAGCUAGGGGAGCAAACGGG
rnacentral:rRNA from 1 species